CCUACGGGAGGCAGCAGUGAGGAAUAUUGGUCAAUGGGCGGAAGCCUGAACCAGCCAAGUAGCGUGCGGGAUGAAGGCCCUACGGGUCGUAAACCGCUUUUGCAAGGGGAUAACACCCUCCACUUGUGGAGGUCUGCAGGUACCGUGCGAAUAAGGGCCGGCUAAUUCCGUGCCAGCAGCCGCGGUAAUACGGGAGGUCCGGUCGUUAUCCGGAUUCAUUGGGCUUAAAGGGAGCGUAGGCGGGCGUUCAAGUCAGCGGGAAAAUCGCGGGGCUCAACCGCGCCCCGCAGAUGAGACUGGUUGGCUUGAGUUCACAAGAGGCAGGCGGAAUGCGUGGUGUAGCGGUGAAAUGCAUAGAUAUCACGAAGAACCCCGAUUGCGAAGGCAGCCUGCCGGGGUGCGACUGACGCUGAGGCACGAAGGUGCGGGUAUCAAACAGGAUUAGAUACCCUAGUAGUC
rnacentral:rRNA from 1 species